GUGUCAGAUUUCUUAUACUUCUGAAUGCAUGUAUAAAUAUAAGUACUUAAUUAAUCUUCAGCCGUGUGAAUAAACAGAAACAAAAUGUAAUUAGCACAACCAAAAAAAAAAUGUAAUUAUUAGUAAAGGUUUAAGUAAUUUAUAUAUUGUAUGUCUCUGACCAAUAAGUUGUGUAUCCGAGUGUAACUAAUUUUUUUUAAGUAAAAUUUUAAAUUUAAGUGUUUUAAGUGAAGAAAAUAUGAAUAGAAAAGAAGAGCUUCAUUAAAGAUAUUCCGUCAAUUUUUAUAGCACAUCAUCGAGAAAAUUAGUGGAUGUUUCAUAUUAUGGUUAAAAAAAAUUAUAUGUUCAUGUAAAAAAAACAUACUAUAUAUCGCUGUCGUUGUAAAUAGUGUUAUUAGAUCGAUCUGCCAAGCAAUUGAAAUUUAUCUUUAGUGAGAAAAGAUAUUUAGAAGAGGGCAAUUUAAUUAAAAGCUGUUAAUGAAGAAUACAUAUAACUAAUUAGUUCUGCCAAGCAAUUGCCUGUAUUAAC
rnacentral:lncRNA from 1 species